rnacentral:lncRNA from 1 species
CAUCUAAAACAAAAUCCUACAGCCUCCUAAUUGAAACAGAAACGACAAGCGGAUUUAUUUAAUGUUCAAGGCUAUCAUUUAACCGUAACAUGAACAAACCCCCAAAAGAACGCAAACACGGAUCGAAAAAGAACAAAUAAGCAAGAACAUCAACCACACAUUAUCGAAAGCAAGUGAGAAAGGAAAAGUUAUGAACCAACCGACAAAGCUGAUGAACACUAUUCAGUAC